GUUUGUGAUGGCAGAGACAGUGCAAAGUUUGUGGUCUUUGAUACCGAGGUGUCUAAGCUCACCAAAAUGGAAGCAGCGACACUAGCUCUGGAGAGGAGAUUAAAGGCGUUGGAGGUCCAGAGCUACCUCGAUGCCUUGAAGAGCUAGCUUGGAAUCAAUACGUUUUUCACAUACGUGUACCUUCACCGGGUCUGCAAUCACUGAAGAUAGGCUUGACCCUCUGACCAAACCCGAGGCUGAAAAGGCUCCAGGGGGAGAUGUCCACACAGAACAAGCACUGUCAUCUGCUAGCGACACUGGUGGUCCUUCCGGCAAGGCAAAGGAAGUAGAUGACCCGAAUCUACCAAGCUUGGCUGAGAUAGAG